rnacentral:rRNA from 1 species
UACGGAGGGGGCUAGCGUUGUUCGGAAUUACUGGGCGUAAAGCGCACGUAGGCGGCUUUGUAAGUUAGAGGUGAAAGCCCGGGGCUCAACCCCGGAAUUGCCCUUAAGACUGCAUCGCUUGAACGUCGGAGAGGUGAGUGGAAUUCCGAGUGUAGAGGUGAAAUUCGUAGAUAUUCGGAGGAACACCAGUGGCGAAGGCGGCUCACUGGACGACUGUUGACGCUGAGGUGCGAAAGCGUGGGGAGCAAACAGG